rnacentral:tmRNA from 1 species
GUCAAGGUUUCGACGGGGUUUUGGAAUCUGGAGAAGCAAGCCGGUGCGAACCGUUAAUCGCAAACUUAAAAUUAAACGCUAAUACAGAAUUAGCUGUUGCCUAAUGGCAACUGCCCGACUUAGUGCACUCACACAUUAAGACCCGGGCAUCGACUAUGUGAGAAACGACAUAUGCAAAGCUUUGAGCAUAUGGGCGUAUCAUGAAGCUACUGAAUGCAUUUCGUUGCUUACCACGGUGUGCAGGAGGGAAUGUCUAAAGAUAAGCUAAGCUUGUAGAAGUACGGUGGAAGGAGCUUCGGACACGGGUUCGACUCCCGUCUGGUCCACU